rnacentral:rRNA from 1 species
UACGAAGGGGGCUAGCGUUGCUCGGAAUCACUGGGCGUAAAGGGUGCGUAGGCGGGUUCUUAAGUCAGAGGUGAAAUCCUGGAGCUCAACUCCAGAACUGCCUUUGAUACUGAGAGUCUUGAGUACGGGAGAGGUGAGUGGAACUGCGAGUGUAGAGGUGAAAUUCGUAGAUAUUCGCAAGAACACCAGUGGCGAAGGCGGCUCACUGGCCCGUUACUGGCGCUGAGGCACGAAAGCGUGGGGAGCAAACAGGG